rnacentral:rRNA from 1 species
UAGGGAAUAUUGCACAAUGGGCGAAAGCCUGAUGCAGCAACGCCGCGUGCGCGAAGAAGGCCUUCGGGUCGUAAAGCGCUUUUCGGGGAGAUGAGGAAGGACAGUAUCCCCGGAAUAAGGCUCGGCUAACUACGUGCCAGCAGCCGCGGUAACACGUAGGAGCCAAGCGUUAUCCGAAUUCACUGGGCGUAAAGCGCGUGCAGGCGGUGCGAUAAGUUGGAUGUGAAAGCUCCUGGCUCAACUGGGAGAGGCCGUUCAAUACUGUUGCACUAGAGGACGGCAGAGGGAGGUGGAAUUCCCGGUGUAGUGGUGAAAUGCGUAGAUAUCGGGAGGAACACCAGUGGCGAAGGCGGCCUUCUGGGCCGUACCUGACGCUCAGACGCGAAAGCUAGGGGAGCGAACGG